rnacentral:rRNA from 1 species
AGAGUUUGAUCCUGGCUCAGGAUAAACGCUGGCGGCGUGCUUAACACAUGCAAGUCGAACGAAGUUUUUCUUUCGGGAGAAACUUAGUGGCGGACGGGUGAGUAACGCGUGGGUAACCUGCCCUGUACAGGGGGACAACAGCUGGAAACGGCUGCUAAUACCGCAUAAGCCCUUAGCACUGCAUGGUGCAUAGGGAAAAGGAGUAAUCCGGUACAGGAUGGACCCGCGUCUGAUUAGCCAGUUGGCAGGGUAACGGCCCACCAAAGCAACGAUCAGUAGCCGAUCUGAGAGGAUGUACGGCCACAUUGGGACUGAGACACGGCCCAGACUCCUACGGGAGGCAGCAGUGGGGAAUAUUGCACAAUGGGGGAAACCCUGAUGCAGCGACGCCGCGUGGAGGAAGAAGGUCUUCGGAUUGUAAACUCCUGUUGUUGAGGAAGAUAAUGACGGUACUCAACAAGGAAGUGACGGCUAACUACGUGCCAGCAGCCGCGGUAAAACGUAGGUCACAAGCGUUGUCCGGAAUUACUGGGUGUAAAGGGAGCGCAGGCGGGAGAACAAGUUGGAAGUGAAAUCCAUGGGCUCAACCCAUGAACUGCUUUCAAAACUGUUUUUCUUGAGUAGUGCAGAGGUAGGCGGAAUUCCCGGUGUAGCGGUGGAAUGCGUAGAUAUCGGGAGGAACACCAGUGGCGAAGGCGGCCUACUGGGCACCAACUGACGCUGAGGCUCGAAAGUGUGGGUAGCAAACAGGAUUAGAUACCCUGGUAGUCCACACCGUAAACGAUGAUUACUAGGUGUUGGAGGAUUGACCCCUUCAGUGCCGCAGUUAACACAAUAAGUAAUCCACCUGGGGAGUACGACCGCAAGGUUGAAACUCAAAGGAAUUGACGGGGGCCCGCACAAGCAGUGGAGUAUGUGGUUUAAUUCGACGCAACGCGAAGAACCUUACCAAGUCUUGACAUCCCUUGACGAUGCUGGAAACAGUAUUUCUCUUCGGAGCAAGGAGACAGGUGGUGCAUGGUUGUCGUCAGCUCGUGUCGUGAGAUGUUGGGUUAAGUCCCGCAACGAGCGCAACCCUUAUGGUCAGUUACUACGCAAGAGGACUCUGGCCAGACUGCCGUUGACAAAACGGAGGAAGGUGGGGAUGACGUCAAAUCAUCAUGCCCUUUAUGACUUGGGCUACACACGUACUACAAUGGCGUUAAACAAAGAGAAGCAAGACCGCGAGGUGGAGCAAAACUCAGAAACAACGUCCCAGUUCGGACUGCAGGCUGCAACUCGCCUGCACGAAGUCGGAAUUGCUAGUAAUCGUGGAUCAGCAUGCCACGGUGAAUACGAACCCGGGCCUUGCACACACCGCCCGUCA